UCAAACCCUGUCCUGUGUCUGUGGUGUUUGUGCUGGUCUGGUGUUUCCAGCUGAUGGUUCUGUUGGGUCUGUUAUGAGGUUUUCACAUCUACAUGAGACACACGUCAGGAAAGAAAGAGGAAGAUCAGAAAGUGAGAAUGAGAAGAUUUAGAGAGCGACAUGAACACACAGCUGAAGAUUCAUGAGAGCAGCAGCAGAUCUUCUGUAUUUUAUGUUUUUUAACGUUUAGCCACACUUUUGUAUUUUUUUU